rnacentral:lncRNA from 10 species
GAUUUCUGAUCUUGUUUACAACGGAUUUGGAGGUGGCUAACUAUCCUGAAUUCCCACAAAUAAGAAAGAAGACUGAAGUUCAGAGAGGUGAAGGGACUGGCUCAGGGGCUACCCCUAUGGUUGCGGGAGCUAAGAUUCCAGCCCAGCAGCGUGAUCCAGAGCCCAUCUGAGCUACCCAGAUCUUCCUGCUGUUAAACCCGUCCUGGGGCAGCUCUUGCCUGAUGGGCUACCUGAGGAACCCACAGGAAAUCAAGGGAGGUGCCUGCAAAGUUGCCGUGGGGUCACAGCCUGCCCUUUGGAAGGGGCUGUUUCUGGGCUGCUGUGACUUCCUGCCAUUAUUUCCUCUCUGUUCUCCCUCUGGAAUGAAUAAAGUACUUCUGAAAAACCAUCAACCCAGUCGAUACGGAAAUGCUGGUCCCUACAAUAGAAUGCUCUGUGGUCAUUAAAAAGAUUAAAAAGGUCAA